rnacentral:tmRNA from 1 species
CCCCUUGAUCUAAUUCUCCCUUGACCCUAUUUAACUCAUGCUCCGUUCGCGGAGACAUGGUGCUAAACCUUUUGUGCAAUAGGCAUACAGGACGGGGCUUCGAUGCCCCCGCCUCCACCAAACAACUCGAUGAUCGUUUCAUCGGUGAAUGGGGGCGACAUGGGAUCGACUGGUGUUGAAAGACAAAAGCUGUGCUCGGCAUGAUACCACCGUUAUCGGGUCAAAAAGUGUAGUUGCAAACGACAACAACGCUAAGGGUUAUGCUCUCGCUGCCUAACGGCGGUGCGGGAAAUCCGACCUAAGUCCUUAUUGUUAGCGCUCUAAGGCGGGGUUCGGAGGUACCUGGCAACAGAAACCUCCACU